GAUGAACGCCAGCGGCAGGCUUAACACAUGCAAGUCGAGGGGUAGGGCAGCAAUGCCUGAGACCGGCGCACGGGUGCGUAACGCGUAUGCAACCUACCUUUUACAGGGGGAUAGCCCAGAGAAAUUUGGAUUAAUACCCCAUGGUAUAAUUUGAUGGCAUCAUUAGAUUAUUAAAGUUCCAACGGUAAAAGAUGGGCAUGCGUCCUAUUAGCUAGAUGGUAAGGUAACGGCCUACCAUGGCUACGAUAGGUAGGGGUCCUGAGAGGGAGAUCCCCCAAGCUGGUACUGCGACAAGGACCAGACUCCUACGGGAGGCAGCAGUGAGGAAUAUUGGACAAUGGGCGCAAGCCUGAUCCAGCCAUGCCGCGUGCAGGAAGAAGCAUCUAUGGUGUGUAAACUGCUUUUGUACGGGAAGAAACACCCCCUCGUGAGGGGGCUUGACGGUACCGUAAGAAUAAGGAUCGGCUAACUCCGUGCCAGCAGCCGCCGUAAGAC
rnacentral:rRNA from 1 species